GUCUUGUCUGGUGUUGCAUUCAUAGCCUCCGGUAACAGGUCUGGAUGCGUGGGAACGUGGGAACUCGAGAAAACAACCCCCAGCCGCUCUGAGGACUCCCUGCCUCCGUGCUCCCUCCCCACCCUUGAAGCCAGGGUUGGUCUUGUGGUUUCCGCCUGCUGUUGUCCCUUCCUAUUUCUCAUGGGUUGAAUGUGUCCCCAGAAAGAUAUGUCAAAGUCCUAACCGCCAGUACCUGUGAAUGUGACCUUCUCAGGAAAUAGCAUCUUUGCAAGAUAGAAUCAAGAUGGGAGUUGACUCCGAAGGAGGCUGAGCCCCUAAUCCAAUUGACUGGUGUCUUUAUAAGAAGAGAGAAGAAACACACACAGAGUAGCAGGACAGAAACUCCCAGAAUGCUAUGCCUGCUCCGGCACUGGGCCUCCCGUAUUUCAAACCUAGAGUGGAUUCUUUUUAACAACUCCUGUACCAUUCACACAGACCAGUUCUAGCAGCUCUCAAGUGUCUUCACCGUGGACAAACUUUCACCAAACGCCGGCAAAUGUAUCACAAAUUUCUAUUGUAUUUGGGUCUCAAGUUUUACACGUGCAAAACCCAGAGAAAGCAUCCAAAAGACGGCAAAUAGGGACUUGCCUGAGCCGUUGUGUUCUUGUCCAGUUCCUAGAGAAAGUGAUUCGGGCUUCAAACACUGCCCUUUGAAUUUCAUCAGGCAAUCUAAGACUGGCACCUUUGGUCAUUUCUCCUAACGUUUCUUCCCUAAAUUUGAUUCUUUUAUCUAUUUCCUCA